ACAGGCAUGGCAAACGGGAGAGUAACACAUUGGCAAUCUACCCCUAAGACGAGGAUAACCUUGCGAAAGCGAGAAUAAUACUCGAUAGUAUCAACGAACGUAAGUUUAUUGAUUAAAGCUCCGGCGCUUAGGGAGGAGCCUAUGGCCUAUCAGCUAGUUGGUGCGGUAACGGCCCACCAAGGCUACGACGGGUAUGGGGUGCGAGAGCAUGACCCCACUCACUGGGACUGAGACACUGCCCAGACUCCUACGGGAGGCUGCAGUCAAGAAUCUUCCUCAAUGGGCGAAAGCCUGAAGGAGCGACGCCGCGUGUAUGAAGAAGCCCCUCGGGGUGUAAAGUACUUUUAACUGUGACAAAACAAUGAUGGUAGCAGUUGAAUAAGGGGCUGCUAACCUCGUGCCAGCAGCAGCGGUAAUACGAGGGCCCCAAGCGUUAUCCGGAUUUAUUGGGCGUAAAGCGUCCGUAGGUGGUUUAUCGCAUCUCCUGUUAAAUCUCGAGGCUCAACCUCGAGUCAGCGGGAGAGAUGGACAAACUAGAGACUGGAAGAGGCACAUGGAAUUGCUGGUGUAGGGGUUAAAUCCAUUAAUAUCAGCAAGAACACCAAAUGCGAAGGCAAUGUGCUAGGACAGUUCUGACACUCAGUGGACGAAAGCGUGGGGAGCGAAUGGGAUUAGAUACCCCAGUAGUCCACGCCGUAAACGAUGGAUACUAAGCAUUGGAAGUAUCGACCCUUUCAGUGCUGCUAAUUUAAGUUAACACGUUAAGUAUCCCGCCUGGGGAGUACGGCCGCAAGGCUAAA
rnacentral:rRNA from 1 species